rnacentral:rRNA from 1 species
AAGUCUUUACGGAGAAAGCUUUAUGCACCAUUGGAUGAGCCUGCACUUGAUUAGUUUGUUGGUAGGGUAAUGGCCUACCAAGACUGUGAUCAAUAGCUGAUUUGAGAGGAUGAUCAGCCACAUUGGGACUGAGACACGGCCCAAACUCCUACGGGAGGCAGCAGUGGGGAAUCUUGCACAAUGGAGGAAACUCUGAUGCAGCGAUGCCGCGUGAGUGAAGAAGGCCUUUGGGUUGUAAAGCU